CCAAACGUUGAAUUGGCUCACCAGAAACUGAUACCAUCUGACGUAACUCUGUCGUUAGCCAUUCAAAUGUAAGCAUAUCAUUAUCUGCAACUGCUUGAGCACAAGCACAAAGUGCUUCUUUUAAAUCGCCCCUGGACAUCAUCUCUACCAAAAACUUAAACUUCUCUUCCACGGAUGUGAUUUGGUCGCAUCCAGCUGGAGUCAUUAUAUUAUAUAUGUCAAGAUCAUCUAUAGGACCCAGCAUUGCAGUUUCCAGUUCUCUCAGCUUGUGGGUAACAUAAGAGUCUAUAUCUGAUGAACCGCUGGUAUUCUCAGAGGAAUCAUGCAGAUC
rnacentral:misc_RNA from 1 species